GAGAGAUGGUUCAGUGGUUAAGAGCACUGGCUGUUUAUCCAGAGGACCUGGGUUCAAUUCCCAGCUCUCA
rfam:Mesocricetus auratus contig204898, whole genome shotgun sequence.